CUGCUCUCCUGCUUCAGUGACUCACUAAAAGCCACAGAAAGAACGACAGCCUCCUGACAUGGCAUCUCUUCUUGAGACAUUGUAAUCCAACUUGGAUGGAACAACUUCGUGACCUUAAUGACACCCAGCAACACGAGACACACAAGCACCACAGGGGAGGAUCUGCAGCAAAGGGCCCACCGGAAAUCAAACCUUGGCCGCUAUGAUGACGACAACAUGGGGCACUUAAGUGUGAAUCUAGCCUUUUCAUUUUUAUUUACAACAUUAGCAUUGAAAAGAGCAAAAGUUGAUGCUUGAGAUGAUUUUGUUUUUACUGAAGAGGAUGUAUGUCCUCCCCUUGUCCUUUAUCCCCUUACUCUUUCUUUUUAGGUGUGAUUACGACUACCAGCAUGAACCUCAACACCUUCUUUGCUGUUCCACUAGUGUGACCCAUGAUCGGAUCCAAGUUGUCAAGGAUAAACGGGAAGAGAAUCAUGUCCGCCCACAGACAACCGGUUGACCUGUAAGUCUUCAAGCAGUAAUGAUGACUACGCCUUAAGUUCCAGUUUCCUGAACAUCAUGUCGGCAUGAGAUUCUGUCCCCACCUGUCUUCAGUCUGGACCCAAUGAGUUGUUUUUUUACAGGGGGUUUCAGUCACAUGGUUUAUUUCGAGGCUUUGUCUGAGUUUCAGUGCUGCAGUUAUUUACCAUUCAGGUGUGUUCAGAAAAAUCCAAUUUGUCAUACUCAUUUGAAGGGCUUGCUGCAGUGAUUCUUUUGUGUACACCAGGAUUUCUUUGUAUUUUGGCAUUUUACACAAAUGUUUUUGAAAGAUGGUCAACAAAGUUGCACAAAUAAAUGUUUACAUGCUGCUUUCCUAAA